CAAUAGCGUAUAUUAAAGUUGUUGCAGUUAAAAAGCUCGUAGUUGGAUUUCUGUGAGAGUGCCGGUGUCGGCUGAUGCUUGUACGCAGGCGCUCUUACAUCCUUCUGUUAACUGAUCUUGGCAUUUUAUUGCUGGUUCAGGGCUCAGAUAUUUUACCUUGAGAAAAUUAGAGUGUUUCAGGCAGGCUUAUGCCGGAAUACAUUAGCAUGGAAUAAUGGAACAGGACCUGUGCGUCUUUCGGGGCGCCGGUCUCCGUUAUUGGUUUCGGGGACUAAAGUAAUGAUUAAUAGGGAUAGUUGGGGGCAUUAGUAUUUAAUAGUCAGAGGUGAAAUUCUCGGAUUUGUUAAAGACUAACUUAUGCGAAAGCAUUCGCCAAGGAUGUUUUCAUUAA
rnacentral:rRNA from 1 species